GCCUCCGUGGUCUGGUGGUCAGCGCAACUGGCCAUAACCCAGAGGUCCCGGGUUCGAAUCCCGGCCGAGGUG
rnacentral:tRNA from 1 species